ensembl:lncRNA
GGACGAGCAACUCCACAUAUGUUUACCUUAUACCCUCUUGCUAUUGCAGCGGUCACUUUGUCAAUCUGUGCUCUGUGGGUUGCGCUCCUGAGUUAAGGCCACUAUGGGGUCUUACAACAUUUUGGUGCAUUGGCCAGGAGCUGUGCUCCCCUCAGACCACAAUUGUUGAAGCGAUUGGAAAUAAGCUCGAGCAAAUCUAGGUUCUGUGUUCUGUGUUAUUUUCUGUAUGUCUCUGUAUCAUGUGGUCUUGUCUUUGUCUUGAGUUGUCCACGUCUGCUGUCUGAGGUGUUUGAAUCCCUUCAGAGGGGGGUUUGAGUCCCCCCAGAGAGGGUUUAGAGUCCCUUUGGUGGUUGCUUUGGGUCCCGUGAGGGGCUUAUGGUUGUGACAGGAAGAAGUGCAGGUUUUCACAGGCCACAGGCCUUAGAGGACACUCUAGGAGGAGAAAGGAAUGUAGAGGAUGCUCUGGAAUCCCGUCAGGAGGUGGGAUCAGAUCGUCCACCUCAUCCUGGAAUCAGCCAGGGUUAAGCUGCAGUUUGGACCAGGUACUGAAAGUAUCAGGCAUUUAUGGAAAUUGUGUAUAGGAUGCCUUGUCUUCUUUUUGUUUAUCUUGUUUGUUUUCUGUGGUAUUGUCAUGUCUUGUGUCUUUUAGGCUUUUGUUUCAUUUUUGGACUUGGACUGAUGGCUGUGUUUGAAAUCAUGGAACUGCUUGUUUUGUUUUUCAGAGUUUUACUUAGUCCUCUCGGUGCUUAACUUGGAAAUGAUUUGCUUGAGAGAAAUUGUUCUCUGCCUGGGAGUUCUGUCUUUCUCUGUUGAGCCUCCUCCCCAAGGAGAGAUGCCCUUCCCUUUGCUCCCCUUGCCCAGUCUAGCUGCUGUCAACAGUUCAUCACACAUGUGUAUGAAGGACUUCAGACCUCUAACCCAGUGAGACAGCUUGGUAAAGGGCCACUACUGAAGUCCUGGAAUUCAGAGGCACGGGGCAGGCUGUAGUUCUAUUAAAGGUUGGUAUUCCAAUGUUAGCAAUCUCUUUAUUGGAUGUAAGAGGCAGGAAGCCCAGUUCAACUUUGACUCCUUCCUCAGGAAUGGCAGUGGAAAAAGUCCUGAUAGCCCCAGGUGAACCAGUUAUCUCUUACUAUAGUUACUCUCUGAUACCCAAGGCGUUAAUUGGAUCACACCCCCCUAAAUCUGGCUUUUCUUCCGUGUUCACCAAGGUGCUCCAAGGAACAGAUGAGCCAUUCAAUUCUUUUGUCAGCCACUUGGCAUCUAGCACCCAGGUCCUAACCAUCUCUCUAUCCUUUUAUUAUUAGUUCUUACUAGAAACUUGAUGUUGUUUGGAGGCUGAGUCUCUUCAGAGGCGAAGCCACCAAGCUGACACUGAAGGGAGGUACUCCUUAAGGGAAAGUCUAAGUCCAGAGAGACAGCCGGUAUCAGACCAGCUGCCCCUCUGUUCGCCUUUCUGUUUCACAAGCAAAAGGCUUGUGCUUAUUUUUGCACUGGCCUUUUCCUUCCAAGAAAGCUUCCUCAUUUAGCUGUGUGACUGAAUGCAAUUUUCCUUUUU